GAUGAACGCUGGCGGCGUGCCUAAUACAUGCAAGUCGAGCGAACGGACGAGAAGCUUGCUUCUCUGAUGUUAGCGGCGGACGGGUGAGUAACACGUGGAUAACCUACCUAUAAGACUGGGAUAACUUCGGGAAACCGGAGCUAAUACCGGAUAAUAUUUUGAACCGCAUGGUUCAAAAGUGAAAGACGGUCUUGCUGUCACUUAUAGAUGGAUCCGCGCUGCAUUAGCUAGUUGGUAAGGUAACGGCUUACCAGGGCAACGAUGCAUAGCCGACCUGAGAGGGUGAUCGGCCACACUGGAACUGAGACACGGUCCAGACUCCUACGGGAGGCAGCAGUAGGGAAUCUUCCGCAAUGGGCGAAAGCCUGACGGAGCAACGCCGCGUGAGUGAUGAAGGUCUUCGGAUCGUAAAACUCUGUUAUUAGGGAAGAACAUAUGUGUAAGUAACUGUGCACAUAUUGACGGUACCUAAUCAGAAAGCCACGGCUAACUACGUG
rnacentral:rRNA from 1 species